rnacentral:rRNA from 1 species
GAGAGAGACAUGCGCGCAUAUCAAUAAGCGGAGGAAAAGAAACUAACAAGGAUUCCCCUAGUAACGGCGAGUGAAGCGGGAAGAGCUCAAAUUUGAAAUCUUAAAGGGUUUCCCUUUACGAAUUGUAGUUUAAAGAAGUGUUUUCUGUUGAGGUUUUGGUAAAAGUUCUUUGGAAUAGGACAUCAUAGAGGGUGAGAAUCCCGUAUUUGACCUUUACUUUCAACUUUGUGAUACACUUUCAAAGAGUCGGAUUGUUUGGGAAUGCAGUCCAAAAUGGGUGGUAAAUUUCAUCUAAAGCUAAAUAUUGGCGAGAGACCGAUAGCGAACAAGUACCGUGAGGGAAAGAUGAAAAGAACUUUGAAAAGAGAGUUAAACAGUACGUGAAAUUGUCAAAAGGGAAGCGUUUGACACCAGUGUUGUUUUUCUGAAAAUCAAUUAAAGAACUGUUUAUGCUAAGCUGUUUAGACUUUAUCAGCUAACUGUUUAGUUUUGAGCUUUUCUUUAAUGCACUUUUCAGUUAACAAGUCAACAUCAAUUUCUUUUGCUGUAAAAAAGCUUGAGGAAGGUGGCUUGAGAUUCGUCUUAAGUGUUUAUAGCCUCUUGCCUAUGCAGUCGGAGAGAUUGAGGUCUGCAGCGUAGAUCCUUCGGGGCUAAAUGCAUUUGUGCUAAGUUAUAGCAUUUUAUAGACAACUUGUUGACUAUGAUUUGUCUUGUAGCUUACUUGCUUAUGUUAUUUUACCUACGCUUAGGAUGUUGAGCGCAUGUCUCUCUCU